GCGAGGCUCAUAACCUGUAAUCUGGACAUGUUGAACAUGAUUAGAGGUACCGGACCAGAUAGUUGAUUUGCUUGCAAGUUGAGGUACUCAAGCAUGGGACACGAGGCAAUACCAGGUGGUAUCGGACCUGUUAGGCUGUUGUUCCCUAAGCCAAGAACAACUAACAAAGGCGUGUUGUUGAACAAUUGAUUUGGUAUUAGGCCACUUAAGUCGUUUGUCCCAAGUUGUAUGUUCCUAAGAUUGCCCAAGCUGUGCAGAUCAUUCGGUAUUUGCCCAGAGAGAGCAUUCUUUAAUAGAACAAGGGCUUCUAGCUUUGUGAGGUUUGCUAUGGUACGAGGGAUUAUACCUGACAAUUCGUUAAGGCCAAGAUCAAGAACAACGGGACGACUCAAUCUACCAAUAUCAGGUGGGAUGGAGCCCGUGAGGUUUGUGUUGGUGAGGUUUAAGACAUGGAGGAAAGAGAGAUUACCAAGAUGCGGGGAGAC
rnacentral:rRNA from 1 species